rnacentral:rRNA from 1 species
CAGUCGCCGCGGUAAUACGAAGGGGGCUAGCGUUGUUCGGAAUCACUGAGCGUAAAGGGUGCGUAGGCGGGAUCUUAAGUCAGGGGUGAAAUCCCGAGGCUCAACCUCGGAACUGCCUUUGAUACUGGGGUCCUUGAGUCCGGAAGAGGUGAGUGGAACUGCGAGUGUAGAGGUGAAAUUCGUAGAUAUUCGCAAGAACACCGGUGGCGAAGGCGGCUCACUGGUCCGGAACUGACGCUGAGGCACGACAGCGUGGGGAGCAAACAGGAUUAGAUACCCGGGUAGUCCCUGUCUCUUAUAC